GAUGAACGCUGGCGGCGUGCCUAAUACAUGCAAGUCGAGCGAACAGACGAGGAGCUUGCUCCUCUGACGUUAGCGGCUGACGGGUGAGUAACACGUGGAUAACCUACCUAUAAGACUGGGAUAACUUCGGGAAACCGGAGCUAAUACCGGAUAAUAUAUUGAACCGCAUGGUUCAAUAGUGAAAGACGGUUUUGCUGUCACUUAUAGAUGGAUCCGCGCCGCAUUAGCUAGUUGGUAAGGUAACGGCUUACCAAGGCAACGAUGCGUAGCCGACCUGAGAGGGUGAUCGGCCACACGGGAACUGAGACACGGUCCAGACUCCUACGGGAGGCAGCAGUAGGGAAUCUUCCGCAAUGGGCGAAAGCUUGACGGAGCAACGCCGCGUGAGUGAUGAAGGUCUUCGGAUCGUAAAACUCUGUUAUUAGGGAAGAACAAAUGUGUAAGUAACUAUGCACGUCUUGACGGUACCUAAUCAGAAAGCCACGGCUAACUACGUG
rnacentral:rRNA from 1 species